CUGGUUCCAGGGUCUCCGCGGGUCCCGCAGCCUCGGUGUGACCCUCUAACCAGGGUACCCGGGGCUACUUGGACCCAUCCGUGAAGAUCCGUCACGUCCCACCCGGGCCUGGGGUCGCUCACGUCCCUCGCUCUGGUUGUAGUAAACUCAAUGCAAGAGGGGUUUUGUUAGAGCUUCUGAAACUCUCACUGAUGCACAGCAUCAAAACUACUGAUCUCACAGAGACCUCCAACAUGACAGUCCAAACCCAAGGAAGCAAAGACCAGCACUCACCAAGCAGAGGUGCACCUGCAUCUGGCCAUCUGAACCUGACAGGGGAUGCUGAGGGCAGAAGACAUUGGACAUCAGCGCCUGAGAAAUGCCCAGCAGACACUGGCACUGUGUGGUGACAGGAUGGCAUGGAUGGACAGAUGGUCAUAAAAUUCAGUUCCUUUAAGUAAACACAGAUAUCUAGAUUCUUAUUUUGAAAUCUACUAAGGACACGUUAAGCACACACACAAAUGGAGAGAAGAGUACAGGGAAGUCCCGUUCCCUGCACUCAGCCAUAGCCUUGAAG